rnacentral:rRNA from 1 species
AUUGAACGCUGGCGGUAUGCUUAACACAUGCAUGUCGAACGGUAGCAGGCCUUCGGGCGCUGACGAGUGGCGGACGGGUGAGUAACGCGUAGGAAUCUGCCUCAUAGUGGGGGACAACGUGGGGAAACUCACGCUAAUACCGCAUACGCUCUUUGUUCUAAGGAAUGGGGAGGAAAGCGGGGGACCUUCGGGCCUCGCGCUAUGAGAUGAGCCUGCGUUAGAUUAGCUAGUUGGUAGGGUAAAGGCCUACCAAGGCGACGAUCGGUAACUGGUCUGAGAGGAUGAUCAGUCACACUGGAACUGAGACACGGUCCAGACUCCUACGGGAGGCAGCAGUGGGGAAUUUUGGACAAUGGGCGAAAGCCUGAUCCAGCAAUGCCGCGUGGGUGAAGAAGGCCUUCGGGUUGUAAAGCCCUUUCAGAUAGAAAGAAAACUCUUACUCUAACAUAGUGAGAGAAUGACGGUACUAUCAUAAGAAGCACCGGCUAACUACGUGCCAGCCGCCGCCGUAAGAC